UAGAUAGAACACCAGGUUGUUGUCGUUCAUCCUUCGUUCUGGAAACUAGAAGUUGAAAGACUUAGGGAAGCUUGGGAUCUGCAGUGCUAUGCCAGAGUAUUUCCUUUCCUGGGUCAGGAUAACAGAGGAUACCAGAGACACUCAAGUCUAAAUUUAUCCGGUUGUCCCAGUUGAUUACAGAGCACUACAACAGGUACCAUUACAAGGGUCAGAGGAAACUGAAAUUCCUGAGGUUUACUGAGUGAAAUAACACAAUUCCUGUGAAUUUCUUGGAUGAGACAGAUGCACUACAUGGGUGCAGGGAGAGCACCAAACCAAAUUUGGUUUUCUCUUUGGAAGAAUUUCCUUAUACAAUACAAUUCAUGGGCACAGAUGUGCAGCGGGCCUGGGCCUCCAGCCACAACCACAGCCACACGCCUACUUCUCAACCUGCCUGCAAUUGCAGGGCUCCCCUCAACUUCCUGGUGACUCAAAGAGGACUGUGCCAAGGGAGAAAAGAACCCCUGGACUGGCAACUGUCUUGCGGAAGGCAAGGAGGGAGGAAUGGGGCUUAAAGAAGCACCCUCUCACCCCACAAAAAUAAAUAAAAUGUAUUCAGACUAGGGUACUCUAA